rnacentral:rRNA from 1 species
AUUGAACGCUGGCGGCAGGCCUAACACAUGCAAGUCGAGCGGAUGAAGGGAGCUUGCUCCUGGAUUCAGCGGCGGACGGGUGGGUAAUUCCUAGGAAGCUGCCUGGUAGUGGGGGAUAACGUCCGGUAACGGGCGCUAAUACCGUAUACGUCCUUAGGGAGAAAGUGGGGGAUCUUCGGACCUCACGCUAUCAGAUGAGCCUAGGUCGCAUUAGCUAGUUGGUGGGGUAAAGGCCUACCAAGGCGACGAUCCGUAACUGGUCUGAGAGGAUGAUCAGUCACACUGGAACUGAGACACGGUCCAGACUCCUACGGGAGGCAGCAGUGGGGAAUAUUGGACAAUGGGCGAAAGCCUGAUCCAGCAAUGCCGCGUGUGUGAAGAAGGUCUUCGGAUUGUAAAGCACUUUAAGUUGGGAAGAAGAGAAGUAAGUUAAUACAUUGCUGUUUUGACGUUACCAACAGAAUAAGCACCGGCUAACUUCGUG